rnacentral:rRNA from 1 species
AGAGUUUGAUCCUGGCUCAGAAUGAACGCUGGCGGCGCGCCUAAUACAUGCAAGUCGAGCGAGAAGACGUAGCAAUACGUUUGUAAAGCGGCGAACGGGUGAGGAAUACAUGGGUAACCUACCCUCGAGUGGGGAAUAACUAGCCGAAAGGUUAGCUAAUACCGCGUACGCUCCUUGGACUUCGGUUCAGGGAGGAAAGCGAUACCGUGGGUAUCGCGCUCUUGGUUGGGCUCAUGUCCUAUCAGCUUGUUGGUGAGGUAACGGCUCACCAAGGCUUCGACGGGUAGCUGGUCUGAGAGGACGAUCAGCCACACUGGCACUGCGACACGGGCCAGACUCCUACGGGAGGCAGCAGUAAGGAAUAUUGCGCAAUGGGCGAAAGCCUGACGCAGCGACGCCGCGUGGGGGAUGAAGGUCUUCGGAUUGUAAACCCCUGUCGAGAGGGACGAAGGUUUGAAGGCGAACAGUCUUCAAACUUGACGGUACCUCGAGAGAGCC